AACGUUUUCUCUCCUCCCACAACAACGAGCUUUCCAUGCUUAACAAAUUUGAGUUUCUGAUAUAGCAUCUACAUGACAGCACCAACCUCAUGAAUCCAUGGUCUUCCUAGUAACCAACCGUAGGCCGGGUGAAUGUCCAUUACUUGGAAAGUAAUUUGGAAGUCACUCAUACCUAUCUUAACUGGAAGGUCCACCUCCCCAAUGACAGUUUUACGGGAACCGUCGAACUCUUUCACAACCACACUGAUGUACCUCAUGGGUGCGCCCUGAUAUGAUAACCUUGCCAAAGUAGAUUUGGUUAAAACAUUCAAUGAUGAACCGGUAUCUACCAAAACAUUGGACAAAGCAUCCUCUUUACAAUUCAUGGAUAUAUGGAGGGCCAAGUUGUGGUUUCUGCCUUCCUCAAGAAGCUUUUCAUCACAGAAACUCAAAUUAUUACAAGAAGUAAUAUUGGCAACGAUAUGAUCAAACUAAUCAACUGUGACAUCUUGUUCCACAUAUGCUUGCUCAAGCACCUUCUGCAACGCCUCUCGGUGUGCCUAGGAGUUCAUAAU
rnacentral:lncRNA from 1 species